rnacentral:rRNA from 1 species
AUGCUACCGGGCGACCGGAUGCGGAUCUCGAAAGCCUGUCCCAGUUCGGACUGGAGUCUGCAACCCGACUCCACGAAGUUGGAUUCGCUAGUAAUCGCGCAUCAGCCAUGGCGCGGUGAAUACGUUCCCGGGUCUUGUACACACCGCCCGUCACACCAUGGGAGUCGGAAAUGCCCGAAGCCAGUGACCCAACCAUAAGGAGGGAGCUGUCGAAGGUGGAGCCGGUGACUGGGGUGAAGUCGUAACAAGGUACC